ensembl:lncRNA
GAAAUUUAGAGUGUAUUUUGGAGAUUAUAUCUCUUAUCCCUCCUGUUGACGCAUGGAGAGUAACUCCAUGUGUCACUAAGGCUGCUGUUUUGUGUAGAGAUUUUGGAAGUAUUGGUUUUCCUUCACAAAUCAUCAAGUCAUCUCUUAGUUUCGCUCCGCAUUUCAGCCAUUUCUUUUGCUCAGCUGUGGGAGCUGCUUUUUGUUCAUCCUUUGUCAGUAAAAUUGUUUCCCUUUGUAAUGUCAUAGUCAUUCUUCUGAUGUGCUGCACACUUGCAAAUUGCUAAAUGUCGCAUCACAUGAGGAGUUUCCUCCCAUGUAAACAGAUGUGUGCCAUGAUAAAACCUUCUCCACACACUAGAAACAAAAACUAUAUUUCAACCGUUGUUACAUCUUAUUCACUUAUUUUAUAAUACAGUUAUUUUUCAAAUCUAAUAUCAAUCAACUAAUUUGCAUAUCAGCUUAUAAUGCGCUAAAUUGACAGGUCAACAGAAAUACACGUUCAAAAGAUUAUCACAAAAGAGAAUUUCCUCCAUACAGUAAAUUACUUGUGUUGCAUCAAUCAAGGAGAAAGCAUCUCACAAUUUAUUGUAUUACCAACUAAAUUUAUUGUCUGAUCACUGCUUGGUCAUACCAGACUCUCUCUGUGUCUUUAUUUUUCCUUCUCUGUUUUCACAAACGUUUCACCUAUUCUGGAGAGUUAAAUGUCAGUAGUGGGUAAAUUCAGCAGUUGAUAACAAAACUAUUAAGUUUUUCCUGUUUUAACACCAAUGUGAGAUAUAGAGGCGCACAUAUAGUGUGUGCUCUAGUGUAAGCUGCUCUUCAUUGCAUGUAUGUGUGUUAGUACGCUUGCAUGCAGGGCCUCUGGGCCUGUCUCACCCAAAAGGGCAUUUUCUUAACAGUUGCCUUUCACUCGCGUGUGUUAAGAAAGGCAAAUGUGCUUGUAGCAGUUGUGAGAUUAUAUUACAUUAUACCUGUAAUCAAAAUGAGUGAAUCAUGAUACUGCUGUAGGCCACAUCAUACUUCUUGUGUAAUCAGUAUGUAGUUUUAGUUUGCAUCACACUUCUUAGUUAAAAGAAUGUGAAAAUCAUUAGAUUUAUUAGAUAGGUUUGUAUUA